GAUUAUAUUGUUCUAGUAUCAGUUAUUUAGUAAGUUUUUAAUUGUUGUGAUGUUUUUUUAUUUUAGUUCGUUACUUGUUUUGUUAUAUGGUUCUAUCUUAUCUUCUAAGGGUGUUUUGAGAUGACAGUGGACCAAAAUCCCUUAUUGAAGUUGCCUGGUUCUCUCAUUUUGGAUCAAUCUGUACAUCAUUUGGUGUACAAACUUCUCAUGUGGAGGCUUAG
rnacentral:lncRNA from 1 species